GCCCAGACUCCUACGGGAGGCAGCAGUGGGGAAUAUUGCACAAUGGGGGGAACCCUGAUGCAGCAAUGCCGCGUGGGUGAAGAAGCACUUCGGUGCGUAAAGCCCUGUCAGCAGGGAAGAAAAUGACAGUACCUGGACAAGAAGCCCCGGCUAACUACGUGCCAGCAGCCGCGGUAAUACGUAGGGGGCAAGCGUUAUCCGGAUUUACUGGGUGUAAAGGGAGCGUAGGUGGCGUGCCAAGUCAGGAGUGAAAACCCGGGGCCCAACCCUGGGACUGCUCUUGAAACUGGCAGGCUUGAGUGCCGGAGAGGUAAGCGGAAUUCCUAGGGUAGCGGUGAAAUGCGUAGAUAUUAGGAGGAACACCAGUGGCGAAGGCGGCUUACUGGACAGUGACUGACACUGAGGCUCGAAAGCGUGGGGAGCAAACAGGAUUAGAUACCCCAGUAA
rnacentral:rRNA from 1 species